GCUCCCAUGGCGUAGUCGUCACUGCGCUCGCCUUGCACGCGGGAGACCCGGGUUCGAUUCCCGGCGGGGUCA
rnacentral:tRNA from 1 species